AUUGAACGCUGGCGGCAUGCUUUACACAUGCAAGUCGAACGGUAACAGGCCUUCGGGUGCUGACGAGUGGCGAACGGGUGAGUAAUGCAUCGGAACGUACCCAGAGGUGGGGGAUAACGCAGCGAAAGCUGUGCUAAUACCGCAUGUGAUCUGAGGAUGAAAGCGGGGGACCGAGCAGCAAUGUUUGGCCUCGCGCCUUUGGAGCGGCCGAUGUCGGAUUAGCUAGUUGGUGGGGUAAAGGCCUACCAAGGCGACGAUCCGUAGCUGGUCUGAGAGGACGACCAGCCACACUGGGACUGAGACACGGCCCAGACUCCUACGGGAGGCAGCAGUGGGGAAUUUUGGACAAUGGGCGCAAGCCUGAUCCAGCAAUGCCGCGUGCAGGAAGAAGACCUUCGGGUUGUAAACCGCUUUUGGCAGGAACGAAACGGUGUCCGCUAAUACCGGGCGCUAAUGACGGUACCUGCAGAAUAAGCACCGGCUAACUACGUG
rnacentral:rRNA from 1 species